AAGGCUUUAUAACAACAUACAGAGAAAGAGACUCCAAAAUCUUAAAAUGUGCUUAAAACCUAAACUGUUUUAUCACAUUAAUGGUUUGAAAGAACUUUAGAAAACCUUAGGAAACAAAAACAUAAUCCCUGAGAAUCAGUGGUUAAACUUUAAGCAGAUUUCUUUUCAAAAGCAUUUUUAUGCUCAUGUGUUUACACAGUGAAGUACUUCGGUGGAAAGAUCCUGGCCUGCACCUGACCAGUGUCAAGGCUAUUAGUCUGGCCUGUCAGGUUACCUAGGGGUUCCCUUGCAUCCUAGAGCCUUUUGUUAGUGAAAAGCUGAUGUGGCUGUUUUCUGCCGCCUCUUCUAUGGUUCGUGUUGCAUGAAGUAAACACUCUGUGGCCAGAGUGCAGGUGAGCUUUGGCCAGGCCUGCCUGCUAAGAUGGACAAUGUCUGGGGGAACAGGGUUCAGUUUAAGGAAGCUUAACAGCCUGGUGAACAGUAAGGGUGCCAUGCUGGACAGGACACCAUGGUCAGAGCAGGUAGAAAAUGGCAAGUUCUUACUGAAUCCCCACCCCUGCCCUUCCUCAGAUUCGGGCUCAGCUCAGCAGUUCCAGAGGUGCCCACUCGUAACAAUACUUUAGUAAAUAAAAUGCAAAAAGAGGGAUCCCUUGUCUAGUGCAUUGGCCCGUCACGCAAGUGUGUUUGUAAAAGCGUGUGUAGCUUGUCUGUUUACACAGAAAGCCAGGCUGAGCUCGGGUAAAUAAUUACUGCUAAAACACCAUUACUUUAAUUAAAUACAAACUAAUGUUUGCUAGUCUACACAGUAUUUACCAAGGAAGCCAGAAGAACCAGAACCAAUGUUUGUUCCCUUACAGGAUUUCAUGCCAACUGCCUGAAAUACAUCUCUGCAUCUCUUUGUGUGUUCUCACUGUAACUGGUCCUCUGCUGCCUUUCAGCAUAAACUGUUUAGGGCCACGCAAUUUGGCUUUUCUGGUACCAGAAUCCGUGGAUCCAAGACAUACCUACCUGGUCACAAGAAUGGAAAAGAUUCAGAAUCAGAUUGGAAAUGGGACACACAUUUGAAAUGGUUCUUUUCAACACUUCUGUUAUUUCAUUAGGUUGGCUUGAAAUUGCUACGUUUGCACCUGCGCACCAUGGACAUUGCCAUGGUCAUGGAGAUUUUCAGAUUGUAUGCUUUCUGGAUGCUAAAGGUUGAUGGUUCACAAGCAUUAAGAUGCUUCAUCUGGACUUAGUUGUACAUACCACAUUUCAGAUGAGUAAAUUAUCAUUUUUUAA